CUCGUAGGUGGUUUGUCGCGUCUGACGUGAAAGCCCAUGGCUUAACUGUGGGUCUGCGUUGGAUACGGGCAGGCUAGAGGCUGGUAGGGGCAAGCGGAAUUCCUGGUGUAGCGGUGAAAUGCGCAGAUAUCAGGAGGAACACCGGUGGCGAAGGCGGCUUGCUGGGCCAGUUCUGACGCUGAGGAGCGAAAGCGUGGGGAGCGAACA
rnacentral:rRNA from 1 species